ensembl:lncRNA
UUUUGGGAGGUCGAGCGCUGUGUAAAUGUAUGACUUCAUGUUUCCUUUUGGUGGCAGCCAUGUUGCAAGCUUUGCAUUAUUUAAGACUCCAGAUCCAUGUAUUUACUUUGCACAUUUAGUCGAAGUACAGUGUGUGUGUGUGUGUGUGUGUGUGUGUGUGUGUGUGUAUGAGAGAGAGAGAAUCCCAAGUGUAAUAAAAAAGUACUUGUGUGAUCUGACAGAUAUUGACUUUAGACUGUAGACAUGUGUUAGCAAACAUAGUAUUCAUGAACAAAGAGGACUAGUGUGUGUGUGUGUGUGUGUGUGUGUGUGCGUGCGUGCGCGUGUCUGUUAUGACCUUAACUAUGGCAUGAGGUAAAGUAUACCGAGAUCAUUCGCUGAAGCAUGUUCAAUCCAUCCAGCUAUGAAUCUUACACAUCUAAAUAUCAUUACCGAGCAUGCUGUUAUAUUUAUUAACAGCUUUCUUUCCACACGAAGAAUUCCGUUCUCUGACGUCAUCGUUUAUACGUUUAAACGUGACCGGAACAUGACUCGCCGUCUGAUUAAUUAAUCUACUAAAACAAAUUUUUACAACCUUUUUUUUUUUUUUCUUUCCUCGCCGCAAGGACAUCGCGCAGCAUUAUUGAUGUAUAAAUCAGGCAAUUUAAUGAUUGCCGAGCGCUCCAGCUAAUGUUAUUUCCCUGAAACAGAUAACAAUAAUAAUAUGCAUGUCUCUCGGAGCUCAUAAAUAUUGUACUCAAUCUCAGCAGAGAGGGUGCAUAUGCAUAAAAGAGCACUUGAGGUGUGUGCGUGUGGGACUCGUAUGCAGAGCGCCCUUUGUUAAGAGAUGAGAAGUUCGACCCCGGUGACCCAGUCGCUGCCUGGCUAUGCAUAUAAAAACAGGAGUCGGCAUUAAUAUCUCGCCUAAUGACCUCGGCGAAUGAAAGCCCAUUAAGGUAAUGACAUCGCCGCUGAGACCUUGAUGUUUUCUUAUUCUCCAAGCAUGCACAGAGGCAAAGGCUUAAUGAGAAAACAUUCAUAUUGUCAUGAUAUUAAAAUGAAAUGCAUAUAUUUUUCUUGCUCUCACUCUCUCUCUCUCUCUCUCUCUCGCUUUUUUUUUCUUAAAAAAUAAAUCACUACUGUGCUGCAGUGUGUUUUCAUUUUGUACUAAAUGAGCUAGGAGGAGUUUCUCACACCUCCCUGUAGUAAAGCCCUUUGUGUCAGGGGAAAAAAAAAACCCCAACAACAAAAAAACAAACAAAUAGAUGCUCAGCCGGUGCGUUUUCACCUCCGUGAUGAAUGGAGACCAAUCUUGGGUUUGUUCUCUAUAGGAUUUGUGCUGGAUGGAGUCCAGUCUCGUCGCCUUUCUGUUCCUGAUCAGACCGUCAGAUGCUUAUUGGACAAUCUGCCCUGACUCCAGAAGACCGCCUCUCCAGGUUUUGUCCCUCGGGGUUGAUGUGGGCAAGUUUCCUGUGCCCUCUGAUGGAGUUCUGGGUGGCUGAAAUCCCCUUGGCGUGUAUACAGAAGCUCCCUGGAAAGCUCGAUAUCCGUGGUACAGUCCAGCGGAAUCAGGAAGCGGCGAGGCUGUCUACUCAGCACGUAUUUGCAUGCGACGCAUAUCUGAGCCCGGAAUGCCAGCUUUCCGCCUCUCAUUAGGCAAAAGAGGGGGAGUCCGCAUCGCAUCUCUUGCCACCCCCCACCCCUUGCCCGCCCCUCUCCCUCCCCUCGCAGACAUGCGUUCAAACCACACACACACACGCACACACCUCUCUUGGUGGAACAGAUCCUCAGCAGUGUCGUGUGUGUGUGUGUGUUUAUGGAACUUGUAGAGCAGGUUGUUCUUAAGCAUGGGUGUCACGUGAGCACGCUGCAAGCCAACGGUGGUUCCUUUCUGCAACGCAACAAGUGGCAGAGUCAGCAGCGCGCAGUCAUGCAGCACCACCAGCGCUGGCACCAUGCCAGACCUGCCAUCUGUCUCCUCCACACGCUUUGCCCCCCACUCCCAUCACUUGACCGUGCAUUUCGUAAUAUUCCGUUUCCUGCCAUCCCUACGGCAUGUUGGAGGCUUGUUCCACACGCCUCGCCCCCGCCGUGAUAAAUGGCUCUCCAGGGACCAGGUGGCAUAAUGCCAAUGCCACUCCGGUGCCACAUGCACAACAAAGCAGUGCUCAUAUAUAUAUACAUAUAAAGCACAUACACACAUGCACUUAAAACCCCUCGUCCAGAAAUAGUCCAUAUCUCCUGGUACCCUCAAGGUUCUCCAUUCUCCUGGUUCUUGGUGGAGGUUUUCUCUCCUCCUAUUCCAGUGCGUGUCCCGUUGAGGAUGCUGGCACCUUAACACACCCCACCACUGCGUUCCUCAUUGGGGUGCCUGCUGCUGCCGCCGCCGCCGCUGCCUGUUUUUACCUCCCCGAGCUCUGCCACCGAGUCUGCCUCCUGCCUGGGAAAACGAGGGAAUGCUGUGGGAUCUAUUGCACGCGCGAGCUGUUUGAAGCUGCAGAAAAGUGAAUAAUCAAUUAAGUAUUGAUUUCUUGUAGGAUUUUGUAAAUUUCAAAGGCAAGACAAAGAGGAUAGCUUAAGGAAAGGAUGACACGGAAACCCUGUGUAAAUUAGCCGGCAGAACGCGCUGUGGAAUAAACUAACGCUUCAUCAGGAUUUUUUUUUGUCUUCCCGGAAUUAACAGCAGUUUGCUCGGAGACAACGCCGCUUAUUAAACCAGAGUUUAACCCAGCCACAGCGAGCCAGACUAAUUACGCCACCCUGCACAAUGGAGCUCAUUUGAAUGUGGUUAUGCAAAUCGCACUCGCUACCUUUCUUUUUUUUUUUUUUUUAUGGAUCAAAAAGCCAGCCAUGCUGGGAAGAAUUAGAGCCUAUUAUGCGGGUGAAGCACUUUAAUUUUAUUUUUUUUUGAGCAGAAGAAGGGAGGGGGAAAAGAAAAACCGCGAUCAAUUAUACGGCGACAACUGAUGAUCCGCGCAUACAGAUGGAGUCCUCAACGAUUGAUAAUUAUUGUCGCUGGGCACGCUGAAACUUGCUAAUGCGGACUGAUAACUGGAGAGAAACGUUCGCCGCUAAUGGCAUUCAGCAUACAUGUCUUACGCGUGAUGACAACGGGCAAUUAUAAUGAAGCAUUCAUUUCACUAUGCAGAUAACCAGCGCUGACUGGGAAGGAGAUGAAACGAGGCGAGCAAACUUGUGUCUGUCUUUGUCCUGGCACCGAUUAUCCAUCCAGGAACAACGUGGAUUCAUUUACAGUUUAAAAAAAAAAACAGCAAGAAAAAUCACAGGAAAAAUCGAGGAGGCGAUUAGCAGCUGAUUAAAAAUUAAGAGGCGGAUUAACGAGCCUCGGCGACGUCGUCCUUGGCACGGUCCAUACAUCUGGUAAAAGGAAAAUCCUGUCUCUGUCUGGCAACCGUGUGUGUGUGUGUGUGUGCGCAGUGUGUCUCCAGCCUCGUUGCCUCUCCGCCCAUCCUGCUUUGCAUAUAUGCAGACGCUGUGGGGGUCUGGAAUAAACAGCAGAAUGUUAAACAAGCGGAUUUACAUGUGAGAGCGAUAGCAUUGGUGCGUCGUCUCUAGAAAAGGGUGGGCUUUUCAGGUACAGGAUAUGAUGCAAGAGAAAACCGCACCGAGGGAUCGUGGGGGAUCACGUCAGAGUCCGUUACGACAUGUACUUUGACAGACACCCCCCCUGUUUUCC